rnacentral:lncRNA from 1 species
AUGGAGGUGGUGCUGAUAUUCCUAUGCAGCCUGUUGGCCCUCAUUGUCAUGGCCAGUGCAGCUGAGUAGGAGAAGGAAAUUGACCAUUUUCAUUAUGACUAACAGACCCUGAGGAUUCAGGGGUUGGUAUGUGCUGUGGUCCUCUUCUCCGUUGGGAUCUUCCUUAUCCUAGGUUGCAGAUGCAAGUGGAGUUUCAAUCAGAAGCCCGGGACCCCAGGGGAGGAGGAAGCCCAGGUGGAGAACCUCAUCACUGCAAAUGCAGCAAAACUCCAGAAAGCAGAGAGCUGA